rnacentral:misc_RNA from 1 species
GUGAAUCAUCGAAUCUUUGAACGCACAUUGCACUCUCUGGUAUUCCGGGGAGUAUGCUUGCUUGAGGGUUAGUUUUUUCCACAUCGUAAACAGAAAUUUUUACGGAUCUGGCUUUUCCACACGUUAUCUUUUUGGUAAUCUAUAAUUUAUUAUAACAAUAGGUGCUAUUGGCAAUGUUUCUCUUUAAUUCCUUAACAAUUAUUACCAAAUUUGUUACGUCGUGUUAUUUUCCUAAUUUCUUAAUUAGGUAAAGUACUCCACUUUCUAAAUCUGACCUCAAGUCAAGUAAGAAUACCCG